UACGUAGGAUGCAAGCGUUAUCCGGAAUGAUUGGGCGUAAAGCGUCCGCAGGUGGCAAUGUAAGUCUGCUGUUAAAGAGUCUAGCUCAACUAGAUAAAAGCAGUGGAAACUACAUAGCUAGAGUACGUUCGGGGCAGAGGGAAUUCCUGGUGUAGCGGUGAAAUGCGUAGAGAUCAGGAAGAACGCCGGUGGCGAAGGCGCUCUGCUAGGCCGUAACUGACACUGAGGGACGAAAGCUAGGGGAGCGAAUGGG
rnacentral:rRNA from 1 species